GUCUUGCAUUUGUUGGAAUUCUGCCUU
rnacentral:sRNA from 1 species